UACGUAGGGGGCAAGCGUUGUCCGGAUUUAUUGGGCGUAAAGAGCGUGUAGGCGGCCUGACAAGUCUGCUGUGAAAACUCGAGGCUCAACCUCGAGAUGUCGGCGGAAACUGUCUGGCUAGAGUCCGGAAGAGGAGAGUGGAAUUCCUGGUGUAGCGGUGAAAUGCGCAGAUAUCAGGAGGAACACCGGUGGCGAAGGCGGGUCUCUGGGCCAUAACUGACGCUGAGGAGCGAAAGCGUGGGGAGCGAACAGG
rnacentral:rRNA from 1 species